rnacentral:misc_RNA from 1 species
GAUGAAGAACGUAGCGAAACGCGAUAUGUAAUGUGAAUUGCAGAAUUCAGUGAAUCAUCGAAUCUUUGAACACACAUGGCGCCUUCCAGUAUCCUGGGAGGCAUGCCUGUCCGAGCGUCGUUUCAACCCUCGAGCCCCCGUGGCCCGGCGUUGGGGAUCUGCCCAGGCAGUCCCCGAAAACCAGUGGCGGACCCGUUACAGGCCCUUCCCUUGCGUAGUAGCAUUCGCCUCGCAUCGGGAGCCGGCGGGCUUCCAGCCUCUAAACCCCCAUCAAGUCCGCCCCGGCGGCACCAAGGUUGACCUCGGAUCAGGUAGGAAUACCCGCUGAACUUAAGCAUAUCAAUAAGCGGAGGA